rnacentral:rRNA from 1 species
UACGUAGGGGGCAAGCGUUGUCCGGAUUUAUUGCGCGUAAAGCGCGUGUAGGUGGCCAAGUAGGUCCGCUGUGAAAACUUGAGGCUCAACCUCAAGCUGUCGGUGGAAACCACUUGGCUAGAGUCCGGAAGAGGAGAGUGGAAUUCCUGGUGUAGCGGUGAAAUGCGCAGAUAUCAGGAAGAACACCAAUGGCGAAGGCAGCUCUCUGGGACGGUACUGACACUGAGACGCGAAAGCGUGGGGAGCGAACAGG